rnacentral:rRNA from 1 species
AACGUAGGGGACAAGCGUUAUCCGGAUUUACUGGGCGUAAAGCGCCCGUAGGCGGCCUGACAAGUUGGACGUGAAAGCUCCUGGCUUAACUGGGAGAGGCCGUUCAAAACUGUCAAGCUAGAGUCUGGAAGAGGAGAGCGGAAUUCCCGGUGUAGUGGUGGAAUGCGUAGAGAUCGGGAGGAACACCAGUGGCGAAGGCGGCCCCCUGGUCCAAAACGGAGGCGGAGGGCCGAAAGCGUGGGAGCGAACGGG